GAUAAACGCUGGCGGCGUGCCUAAUACAUGCAAGUCGAGCGAACGGACGAGAAGCUUGCUUCUCUGAUGUUAGCGGCGGACGGGUGAGUAACACGUGGAUAACCUACCUAUAAGACUGGGAUAACUUCGGGAAACCGGAGCUAAUACCGGAUAAUAUUUUGAACCGCAUGGUUCAAAAGUGAAAGACGGUCUUGCUGUCACUUAUAGAUGGAUCCGCGCUGCAUUAGCUAGUUGGUAAGGUAACGGCUUACCAAGGCAACGAUGCAUAGCCGACCUGAGAGGGUGAUCGGCCACACUGGAACUGAGACACGGUCCAGACUCCUACGGGAGGCAGCAGUAGGGAAUCUUCCGCAAUGGGCGAAAGCCUGACGGAGCAACGCCGCGUGAGUGAUGAAGGUCUUCGGAUCGUAAAACUCUGUUAUUAGGGAAGAACAUAUGUGUAAGUAACUGUGCACAUCUUGACGGUACCUAAUCAGAAAGCCACGGCUAACUACGUGCCAGCAGCCGCGGUAAUACGUAGGUGGCAAGCGUUAUCCGGAAUUAUUGGGCGUAAAGCGCGCGUAGGCGGUUUUUUAAGUCUGAUGUGAAAGCCCACGGCUCAACCGUGGAGGGUCAUUGGAAACUGGAAAACUUGAGUGCAGAAGAGGAAAGUGGAAUUCCAUGUGUAGCGGUGAAAUGCGCAGAGAUAUGGAGGAACACCAGUGGUGAAGGCAGCUUUCUGGUCUGUAACUGACGCUGAUGUGCGAAAGCGUGGGGAUCAAACAGGAUUAGAUACCCUGGUAGUCCACGCCGUAAACGAUGAGUGCUAAGUGUUAGGGGGUUUCCGCCCCUUAGUGCUGCAGCUAACGCAUUAAGCACUCCACCUGGGGAGUACGACCGCAAGGUUGAAACUCAAAGGAAUUGACGGGGACCCGCACAAGCGGUGGAGCAUGUGGUUUAAUUCGAAGCAACGCGAAGAACCUUACCAAAUCUUGACAUCCUUUGACAACUCUAGAGAUAGAGCCUUCCCCUUCGGGGGACAAAGUGACAGGUGGUGCAUGGUUGUCGUCAGCUCGUGUCGUGAGAUGUUGGGUUAAGUCCCGCAACGAGCGCAACCCUUAAGCUUAGUUGCCAUCAUUAAGUUGGGCACUCUAAGUUGACUGCCGGUGACAAACCGGAGGAAGGUGGGGAUGACGUCAAAUCAUCAUGCCCCUUAUGAUUUGGGCUACACACGUGCUACAAUGGACAAUACAAAGGGCAGCGAAACCGCGAGGUCAAGCAAAUCCCAUAAAGUUGUUCUCAGUUCGGAUUGUAGUCUGCAACUCGACUACAUGAAGCUGGAAUCGCUAGUAAUCGUAGAUCAGCAUGCUACGGUGAAUACGUUCCCGGGUCU
rnacentral:rRNA from 1 species